GGUUAAGCGACUAAGCGUACACGGUGGAUGCCCUGGCAGUCAGAGGCGAUGAAGGACGUGCUAAUCUGCGAAAAGCGUCGGUAAGGUGAUAUGAACCGUUAUAACCGGCGAUGUCCGAAUGGGGAAACCCAGUGCAAUUCGUUGCACUAUCGUUAACUGAAUACAUAGGUUAACGAGGCGAACCGGGGGAACUGAAACAUCUAAGUACCCCGAGGAAAAGAAAUCAACCGAGAUUCCCCCAGUAGCGGCGAGCGAACGGGGAGCAGCCCAGAGUCUGAAUCAGCUUGUGUGUUAGUGGAACGGUCUGGAAAGUCCGACGGUACAGGGUGAUAGUCCCGUACACCAAAAUGCACAGGUUGUGAACUCGAAGAGUAGGGCGGGACACGUGGUAUCCUGUCUGAAUAUGGGGGGACCAUCCUCCAAGGCUAAAUACUCCUGACUGACCGAUAGUGAACCAGUACCGUGAGGGAAAGGCGAAAAGAACCCCGGCGAGGGGAGUGAAAAAGAACCUGAAACCGUGUACGUACAAGCAGUGGGAGCACCUUCGGGUGUGACUGCGUACCUUUUGUAUAAUGGGUCAGCGACUUAUAUUCUGUAGCAAGGUUAACCGUAUAGGGGAGCCGCAGGGAAACCGAGUCUUAACUGGGCGUUAAGUUGCAGGGUAUAGACCCGAAACCCGGUGAUCUAGCCAUGGGCAGGUUGAAGGUUGGGUAACACUAACUGGAGGACCGAACCGACUAAUGUUGAAAAAUUAGCGGAUGACUUGUGGCUGGGGGUGAAAGGCCAAUCAAACCGGGAGAUAGCUGGUUCUCCCCGAAAGCUAUUUAGGUAGCGCCUCGUGAAUUCAUCUUCGGGGGUAGAGCACUGUUUCGGCUAGGGGGUCAUCCCGACUUACCAACCCGAUGCAAACUACGAAUACCGAAGAAUGUUAUCACGGGAGACACACGGCGGGUGCUAACGUCCGUCGUGAAGAGGGAAACAACCCAGACCGCCAGCUAAGGUCCCAAAGUCAUGGUUAAGUGGGAAACGAUGUGGGAAGGCACAGACAGCCAGGAUGUUGGCUUAGAAGCAGCCAUCAUUUAAAGAAAGCGUAAUAGCUCACUGGUCGAGUCGGCCUGCGCGGAAGAUGUAACGGGGCUAAACCAUGCACCGAAGCUGCGGCAGCGACACUAUGUGUUGUUGGGUAGGGGAGCGUUCUGUAAGCCUGCGAAGGUGACCUGUGAGGGUUGCUGGAGGUAUCAGAAGUGCGAAUGCUGACAUAAGUAACGAUAAAGCGGGUGAAAAGCCCGCUCGCCGGAAGACCAAGGGUUCCUGUCCAACGUUAAUCGGGGCAGGGUGAGUCGACCCCUAAGGCGAGGCCGAAAGGCGUAGUCGAUGGGAAACAGGUUAAUAUUCCUGUACUUGGUGUUACUGCGAAGGGGGACGGAGAAGGCUAUGUUAGCCGGGCGACGGUUGUCCCGGUUUAAGCAUGUAGGCUGGUUGUCCAGGCAAAUCCGGAUAAUCAAGGCUGAGGUGUGAUGACGAGGCACUACGGUGCUGAAGUAACAAAUGCCCUGCUUCCAGGAAAAGCCUCUAAGCAUCAGGUAACAUCAAAUCGUACCCCAAACCGACACAGGUGGUCAGGUAGAGAAUACCAAGGCGCUUGAGAGAACUCGGGUGAAGGAACUAGGCAAAAUGGUGCCGUAACUUCGGGAGAAGGCACGCUGGUGUGUAGGUGAAGCCCCUGCGGGUGGAGCUGAGACCAGUCGAAGAUACCAGCUGGCUGCAACUGUUUAUUAAAAACACAGCACUGUGCAAACACGAAAGUGGACGUAUACGGUGUGACGCCUGCCCGGUGCCGGAAGGUUAAUUGAUGGGGUUAUCCGUAAGGAGAAGCUCUUGAUCGAAGCCCCGGUAAACGGCGGCCGUAACUAUAACGGUCCUAAGGUAGCGAAAUUCCUUGUCGGGUAAGUUCCGACCUGCACGAAUGGCGUAAUGAUGGCCAGGCUGUCUCCACCCGAGACUCAGUGAAAUUGAACUCGCUGUGAAGAUGCAGUGUACCCGCGGCAAGACGGAAAGACCCCGUGAACCUUUACUAUAGCUUGACACUGAACAUUGAGCCUUGAUGUGUAGGAUAGGUGGGAGGCUUUGAAGCGUGGACGCCAGUCUGCGUGGAGCCAACCUUGAAAUACCACCCUUUAAUGUUUGAUGUUCUAACGUUGGCCCCUGACCGGGGUUGCGGACAGUGUCUGGUGGGUAGUUUGACUGGGGCGGUCUCCUCCCAAAGCGUAACGGAGGAGCACGAAGGUUAGCUAAUCCUGGUCGGACAUCAGGAGGUUAGUGCAAUGGCAUAAGCUAGCUUGACUGCGAGCGUGACGGCGCGAGCAGGUGCGAAAGCAGGUCAUAGUGAUCCGGUGGUUCUGAAUGGAAGGGCCAUCGCUCAACGGAUAAAAGGUACUCCGGGGAUAACAGGCUGAUACCGCCCAAGAGUUCAUAUCGACGGCGGUGUUUGGCACCUCGAUGUCGGCUCAUCACAUCCUGGGGCUGAAGUAGGUCCCAAGGGUAUGGCUGUUCGCCAUUUAAAGUGGUACGCGAGCUGGGUUUAGAACGUCGUGAGACAGUUCGGUCCCUAUCUGCCGUGGGCGCUGGAGAAUUGAGGGGGGCUGCUCCUAGUACGAGAGGACCGGAGUGGACGCAUCACUGGUGUUCGGGUUGUCAUGCCAAUGGCACUGCCCGGUAGCUAAAUGCGGAAGAGAUAAGUGCUGAAAGCAUCUAAGCACGAAACUUGCCCCGAGAUGAGUUCUCCCUGAGACUUUAAGUCUCCUGAAGGAACGUUGAAGACGACGACGUUGAUAGGCCGGGUGUGUAAGCGCAGCGAUGCGUUGAGCUAACCGGUACUAAUGAACCGUGAGGCUUAACCUU
rnacentral:rRNA from 1 species